AGCAGCGUGGCUCAGUGGAAAGAGCCCGGGCUUGGGAGUCAGAGGUCAUGGGUUCGGAUCCCGGCUCUGCUA
rnacentral:tRNA from 1 species